rnacentral:rRNA from 1 species
UACAGAGGUCUCAAGCGUUGUUCGGAAUCACUGGGCGUAAAGCGCACGUAGGCGGACUCUUAAGUCGGUGGUGAAAUCCUGGAGCUCAACUCCAGAACUGCCUUCGAUACUGAGAGUCUCGAGUCCGGGAGAGGUGAGUGGAACUGCGAGUGUAGAGGUGAAAUUCGUAGAUAUUCGCAAGAACACCAGUGGCGAAGGCGGCUCACUGGCCCGGUACUGACGCUGAGGUGCGAAAGGCGUGGGGAGCAAACAGG